UGUAACACAGAGUAGGAUAUUUUACAGGACACCAAGGCAUCCACUGAUUUAUUUAAAACAAAUAAUCAUUCACGCAGCACAAGCAGUUACUGGAUUAAAGGAUCGGCAUCCUGCUAAUCCCCAGGAGCUGCAGCACUGGGGACGUCAGCUAUCAGCCCAUCUGCUGGAUCGCACCCCCUUCAAGGGUGAUGGACUGAACUGCAAAACCAGCCUGUGAUCGAGCACGUCAUUCCUGGAGGAAAGACAUGAGAGGAUGCAGGGAGGCAGAUUGGUUGGACGGUGUUGCUGAACUCUAGAGGCUCACUAAGCUUUAGCAGAGCAAUGUCGUAGUCAGAGGUCACUUGAUCAUAAGAUGGGUGGAGGAUGAUUCUCUUCACUUUACGCAUCUGAGCUUUCUCUGGCUCAUACUGAGACUGCAAUCCACUGAUUGUUCACAACUUUAUCCUUCAACUUUCUGCGGUGGUCCUUUUUUGUAGUUGUUGUGGCUCAAAGCAGUAUUUUAAACUGGACCUGCUGUCCUUUUUAGGAACAUGUCCAAGGAAGGAGACUCCGAGUGUUAGGUUCUCAGAACUGGGUGAAGUUGCAGUUUACCUCUCACAGGGUGGCAGGCUAAUUGAUUUACGGUAGCUUCCAUUACCUCAGUCAGUGGUGACCUUUAAGAAGGAGCAGGCUCCCUCAGGCAGAUGGUUAUUGUAUCCAGAGCACUUCAGGAUCCACUCUGGCUAAGACUUUCAUUGUAUCUAUCCCCUGUAGGCUUAUGUCCUGCUCCUUCCACAGCUAACCUACACAGCACACAAGUAUCUGUACUUUCUAUUCCUUACAUUUUUAAAACAAACGUCACUCGUUACUCUUGGCUUCAGUUUAAUGUUUAUAAAUAUUUAUUUCACGUCAUGUGCGCCAUCUAAUGCAGAUCAUUGUCUCCAUCCACAUCUAGUGAAAACUAGUGUAAUUGGAUGAGUUGUAUAACACAAACACUCAUUGGUUAGCUAAAGGAAAUCAUCAGAAGCAAGCAGGUGUUCUUGAAACUGCAAACGCGAAUAGUCUAUGCCAUGCUACAAUGAACGGAUUCAGAAAAAGAUUUUGAAAUGUCUGAAAGGUCGGACACAGGCGAGAACGUAUCGGGAGACGGAGACCAACAAGACCUCCCUCU